CAUGUUAUCGAUAUGUGAAUACAUAGCAUAUCAGAAGGCACACCCGGAGAACUGAAACAUCUUAGUACCCGGAGGAAGAGAAAGAAAAUUCGAUUCCCUUAGUAGCGGCGAGCGAAACGGGAAGAGCCCAAACCAACAAGCUUGCUUGUUGGGGUUGUAGGACACUCUAUACGGAGUUACAAAGGACGACAUUAGACGAAUCAUCUGGAAAGAUGAAUCAAAGAAGGUAAUAAUCCUGUAGUCGAAAAUGUUGUCUCUCUUGAGUGGAUCCUGAGUACGACGGAGCACGUGAAAUUCCGUCGGAAUCUGGGAG
rnacentral:rRNA from 1 species